rnacentral:misc_RNA from 1 species
UUAGGUGAAAAUAGAAGUAUUGCAGCUCAUACAGUGGUUCUUCUUAUGAAGAAGUAAAGUAGUUCUUUAAAAACUAAAAAAUUUGGAGUUAGCCAUUGUACUUGGUUAGCGUUGUUGUCACUGUUACAGAGAUGAACAUAUGCUGGUUCUUUUGAAGACCCAUCUCACACUAGAACAAUUUCAUGAUGCAAGUUGACUUAAUGUCAGUUUCUACCACACUUGAAAGAAUAGUAUCUUGUCCCUGAUAUGUUGUUAUGAUGCCUGUAUUUAUAAGUCCAUUUUAUUUGGGGCAUUUGUCUUGGAAUUAUGUACAAUAAACAUCUGAAAACGAAGCAUAGUGUGAGAUGGGUCUUCAAAAGAACCA